rnacentral:rRNA from 1 species
AUUAGACUACCCGGUAGUCCCAGCCGUAAACUAUGCGCGUUAGGUGUAUCGGUGACCACGAGUUACCGAGGUGCCGAAGGGAACCGUGAAACGCACCACCUGGGAAGUACGGUCGCAAGGCUGAAACUUAAAGGAAUUGGCGGGGAGCACCACAACAGGUGGAGCCUGCGGUUUAAUUGGAUUCAACGCCGGACAUCUCACCGGAUAAGACAGCUGAAUGAUUGUCAAUCUGAAGGUUUUACAUGACUAGCUG